rnacentral:miRNA from 1 species
AAGCGGAAUAGUCGAAUACGAGCGGGAAAGGCUGCUGGGAUUCGUUGAUAAAUGAAUGAACUUAUUAGCGAUUCCCAGCAGCCUUUCGCGCUCGUAUUCGACUUUUCCACUU